rfam:Gossypium hirsutum cultivar TM-1 chromosome 12, whole genome shotgun sequence
GUCGAUAUGUCCGAGUGGUUUAGGAGACAGACUUGAAAUCUGUUGGGCACUGCCCGCGCACGUUCGAACCCUGAUGUCGACG